GAGUAACACGUGGAUCAUCUACCUCUUAGUGGGGAAACGUAACCCCCGGGAAACUGGGGACAAUACCGCAUAAGCCUGAGAAGGGAAAGUCGAAAGACGCUGAGAGAGGAGUCCGCGGCCGAUUAGCUAGUUGGUAGGGUAACGGCCUACCAAGGCUUUGAUCGGUAGCCGGCCUGAGAGGGCACACGGCCACACUGGCACUGAAACACGGGCCAG
rnacentral:rRNA from 1 species